rnacentral:rRNA from 1 species
UACGGGGGGGGCAAGCGUUGUUCGGAAUUACUGGGCGUAAAGGGCUCGUAGGUGGCCAACUAAGUCAGACGUGAAAUCCCUCGGCUUAACCGGGGAACUGCGUCUGAUACUGGAUGGCUUGAGUUUGGGAGAGGGACGCGGAAUUCCAGGUGUAGCGGUGAAAUGCGUAGAUAUCUGGAGGAACACCGGUGGCGAAGGCGGCGAUCUGGACGAUGACUGACGCUGAGACGCGAAAGCGUGGGGAGCAAACAGG